UACGAAGGGUGCAAGCGUUAAUCGGAAUUACUGGGCGUAAAGGGUGCGUAGGCGGUUUUUUAAGUCAGAGGUGAAAGCCCAGUGCUCAACACUGGAACUGCCUUUGAAACUGGAAAACUUGAAUCUUGGAGAGGUCAGUGGAAUUCCGAGUGUAGAGGUGAAAUUCGUAGAUAUUCGGAAGAACACCAGUGGCGAAGGCGACUGACUGGACAAGUAUUGACGCUGAGGUGCGAAAGCGUGGGGAGCAAACAGG
rnacentral:rRNA from 1 species